rnacentral:sRNA from 1 species
GUGUUUGCUGACUCUCUUGACGGUGUUGACUAACUUCCGUCAAUUUGAAAAUUAUAUAUAUGAAAGUUGAUCAACUCUCUCCAUAUAAUUGUCACAUCAUCACUUUAGCAUUUGCCAUGUGUCUAUUAAAUAAUUAAUGUAAUGUACUAUUAAUUA